AGGCAGGAAGCGGCCAUGGGCAGCCUGUGUAGAGAAUUAGCUGUGGCUCCCUCUGUCAGCACGCCUUGUAACAGUUUGUGGGUGAAGCAGCAAGACUUUGACUUGCACGUGACUGGAAAAAUGUGACUCCUCUUCCUCCUAUGGAAUUGUGAUAUAGUAAAAUAUGGACUAUUUUGUCCUUGUGCACAUACUUGGUGUGACAUCUUUUCUGUUACAAGAGAAGCUCCACAAAGCGCAAGUGUUUAGAAGUGUAGUCACCGUUUUUACCAACUCAGAGGAGAAGGGCUCCCCAGCCAGCAAAACAGAAUCUUUAGCCAGAUUCUUUGAACAUUAACCUGAUCCUGAAUAAGUAAUGUGUGAUGUAGUAUAUUAAU